rnacentral:rRNA from 1 species
GAGUUUGAUCGUGGCUCAGGAUAAACGCUGGCGGCGUGCAUGAGACAUGCAAGUCGAACGGACACUUGGGGCUUGCUCCAAGUGUUAGUGGCGGGACGGCUGAGUAACGCGUAGGUGACCUGCCCCGAAGUGGGGAAUAACUGCCCGAAAGGGUGGCUAAUACCGCAUGUGGUGGUGUGUUCAUUCACACCAGUAAAGCCGCAAGGCGCUUCGGGAGGGGCCUGCGUCCGAUUAGCUCGUUGGUGGGGUAACGGCUCACCAAGGCGACGAUCGGUAGGUGGUCUGAGAGGACGAUCACCCAGACUGGGACUGAGACACGGCCCAGACUCCUACGGGAGGCAGCAGUCGGGAAUUUUGCGCAAUGGACGAAAGUCUGACGCAGCAACGCCGCGUGAGGGAUGAAGGCCUUCGGGUUGUAAACCGUCUUUUAUCUAGGGAAGAGUAAUAGACGGUACCGUGAUGAA